CAUAUACUCCCUCCGUCCUAAAAUUCUCGUCUUAGAUUUGUCUAGAUACGGAUGUAUCUAGACAAAUCUAAGACGAGCAUUUUGGGACGGAGGGAGUAUAUA
rfam:Triticum aestivum genome assembly, contig: Triticum_aestivum_CS42_TGACv1_scaffold_224700_3B